rnacentral:rRNA from 1 species
GCACGGAGUUAGCCGGAGCUUAUUCUCCCGGUACUGUCAUUAUCAUCCCGGGUAAAAGAGCUUUACAACCCUAAGGCCUUCAUCACUCACGCGGCAUUGCUGGAUCAGGCUUUCGCCCAUUGUCCAAUAUUCCCCACUGCUGCCUCCCGUAGGAGUCUGGGCCGUGUCUCAGUCCCAGUGUGGCUGAUCAUCCUCUAAGACCAGCUAUGGAUCGUCGCCUUGGUAGGCCUUUACCCCACCAACUAGCUAAUCCAACGCGGGCCCAUCCAAAGGCGAUAAAUCUUUGGUCCGAAGACAUUAUCCGGUAUUAGCACCCCUUUCGAGGCGUUAUUCCGAACCUAAGGGCAGGUUCCCACGCGUUACGCACCCGUGCGCCACUAGACCCGAAGGUCUCGUUCGACUUGCAUGUGUUAGGCAUGCCGCCAGCGUUCGUU